rnacentral:rRNA from 1 species
UACGGGGGGAGCAAGCGUUGUUCGGAUUUACUGGGCGUAAAGGGCGCGUAGGCGGCGCAACAAGUCACUUGUGAAAUCUCCGGGCUUAACCCGGAGCGGCCAAGUGAUACUGUCGUGCUAGAGUGCGGAAGGGGCUACUGGAAUUCUCGGUGUAGCGGUGAAAUGCGUAGAUAUCGGGAGGAACACCAGUGGCGAAGGCGACUACCUGGCCCAUUCUUGACGCUGAGGCGCGAAAGCUAGGGGAGCGAACGGG